rnacentral:rRNA from 1 species
GAUGAACGCUGGCGGCGUGCCUAAUACAUGCAAGUCGAGCGAACAGAUGAGGAGCUUGCUCCUCUGACGUUAGCGGCGGACGGGUGAGUAACACGUGGAUAACCUACCUAUAAGACUGUGAUAACUUCGGGAAACCGGAGCUAAUACCGGAUAAUAUAUUGAACCGCAUGGUUCAAUAGUGAAAGACGGUUUUGCUGUCACUUAUAGAUGGAUCCGCGCCGCAUUAGCUAGUUGGUAAGGUAACGGCUUACCAAGGCGACGAUGCGUAGCCGACCUGAGAGGGUGAUCGGCCACACUGGAACUGAGACACGGUCCAGACUCCUACGGGAGGCAGCAGUAGGGAAUCUUCCGCAAUGGGCGAAAGCCUGACGGAGCAACGCCGCGUGAGUGAUGAAGGUCUUCGGAUCGUAAAACUCUGUUAUUAGGGAAGAACAAAUGUGUAAGUAACUAUGCACGUCUUGACGGUACCUAAUCAGAAAGCCACGGCUAACUACGUG